rnacentral:rRNA from 1 species
AGCGAACGCUGGCGGCAUGCUUAACACAUGCAAGUCGCGCGGGUGGUUUCGGCCAUCAGCGGCGGACGGGUGAGUAUCGCGUAGGAAUGUAUCCCGAGGUGGGGGACAACCCUGGGAAACUGGGGCUAAUACCGCAUGGGGCCUGUGGGUCAAAGCCUUAGGGCGCCUUGGGAGCAGCCUGCGUCCGAUUAGGUAGUUGGUGGGGUAAAGGCCUACCAAGCCUGCGAUCGGUAGCUGGUCUGAGAGGACGAUCAGCCACACUGGGACUGAGACACGGCCCAGACUCCCACGGGAGGCAGCAGUGGGGAAUAUUGGACAAUGGGCGCAAGCCUGAUCCAGCAAUGCCGCGUGGGUGAAGAAGGUCUUCGGAUUGUAAAGCCCUUUCGGCGGGGACGAUGAUGACGGUACCCGCAGAAGAAGCCCCGGCUAACUUCGUG